CAUCACUCAGACUCUCUCCUGGAGAUCAUAGUCACCAAGAAGGUGGAGUCAAAGACUUCAAACCCUCUUUCAUUGCUUUGUCACAGGAAGAGACUUAGUUUUAAGGAUGCUCAGAGCUUUGCUAAUUUCAUUUCCCAGGGAGCUCUUGUUUACAGCUAAACAAGGAGCAGGUCUCCAUCCUAUUUCUGAUACAAGCCAGGUAGAGAACUCCUUCCCCUCCAAAAGAAGUCCAGCACAAAUUGCUAUGUGAAAUCCUGAGUGAAAGAUCAUUUUUGUGGUUGCUGGUGCUUUGUUUUGAAAGAAGACCAAUGAUAUCACAGAACAAUGUUUUGGCAUGAAGUGGAUAUAAGUGAGGCAGAGUUGCACAAAGUCAUCAGCCUCUCUCUUCCAGAGUAAUUGAAGUCCAGUGGCAAGGUAAAAAUCAAGACAACUGGCGAUGGCCUGGGAUACAGUGGAUGCAUCUUGUCUUCUUCCUGCAAAAGAAUACAUUUUCUUUGCUUAAAGCAUCCAUCUUGGGUUCUUUGGGUUAUUCUCAUGUCCCAUUUGAGUAGGUGGUCUACAGUAUCAAAGGUGGAUGAGCAGUUCUGAAAAGAGCUUAAAACAUUAUUGAAUAAAGAAAGACUAAAACUCCUAUUGUUGAGAGGG
rnacentral:lncRNA from 1 species